UUUUUUGUUUUUUUUAUUUCUUAUUGCUUUACUUGUUUCAGUCAAUGGACUGUGGCCAUGCUGGGGCACCAUAUCCAAGGAUUUAGUCAAAUUCAGUCCAAUACAUAGUUUUUUCUUUCUUAAGUCUGAUACUUAUUCUAUCAGUCUCCUUUGCUGAACCACUACAUUGUGGAGAUGUAAACAAACCAACAUUAGUUGCCAAGCAGUUGGGUAGGGCUGACAGAGAACAAACAGAAAGACACACACGUGGUAGUUUCUGUCAAAUAAUUACGACAGGAUUGACCAAAUAAUUAAGACAUAGAAUCAACGAAAUAAUUAUGACUAGAAUCAACGAAAUAAUUAUGACUAGAAUUAACCAAAUAAUUAUGACUAGAAUUAACCAAAUAAUUAUGACUAGAAUUAACCAAAUAAUUAUGACUAGUAUUAACCAAAUAAUUACGACUAGAAUUAACCAAAUAAUUACGACUAGAAUUAACCAAAUAAUUAUGACUAGUAUUAACCAAAUAAUUAUGACUAGAAUUAACCAAAUAAUUAUGACUAGUAUUAACCAAAUAAUUAUGACUAGAAUUAACCAAAUAAUUAUGACUAGAAUUAACCAAAUAAUUAUGACUAGAAUUAACCAAAUAAUUAUGACUAGUAUUAACCAAAUAAUUAUGACUAGUAUUAACCAAAUAAUUAUGACUAGAAUUAACCAAAUAAUUAUGAUUAGAAUUAACCAAAUAAUUAUGACAUAGAAUCAACCAAGGAAGUGCUGAGACUGACAGGGAAAGGAUGAAAGGCAAAAAUUGGCCUUGGUGAGAUUUGAACUCAGAGCUCACUAUGUCAGAUAAAUACCAGAAGGCAUCCUAUCCAGCACUCUAAUGACUGACAAUUCGCUGCUGCCUUCGACUCAAGAAGCACUUUACAAAACAAUAUAACACACACCAUAAAACUUUAAAUAACAAAAAAAUUUACAUUACAUCGGCCUAAUUGUAGAGUAUAUUUUGUACAUCUGUUCGGCUCUGAGUUCAUCUUCAUACAUUUUUGUAACCUGGAGCACUUUUAAAAUACACGAUGGGGAAGGUGGGGGGGGUAGAGAAGGUUGAGAGGAAUUUCAGCAGAUGAUAAAUGCAUUCUUUGUCCUUUUUCUUUUACAUUUUGGUGCUGUAUACAUUUGACAAUUGUGUAAUGUCCUUAAAACAGAAAUGUAAAAAGAAAAAUGACAAUACAAGUGAGUGGGGAUGAGGAGGGGUGAGAAUAAAGGGGAGUGAGAGAGAGACACACACAUACAGAAAGAGAGAGAGAGGGGGGAAGAUCAAUUCCAGUUAACGGCUAAUUCAAUUACAUCUCUUUGUCUGGUAUUAUGAUGAAUACACUUGAAGCUGAAAUGUAAUAUAAGUAUGUUCCCAAUGAUACAGUCAUUACGAACAUGUGUGCAGCUCUUACGAUGUGUAUGUAUGUGGGUGCUCAUGUGUGUGUGUGUGUGUAUAAAAGCAUGUGAGUCUGUGUGUGCUUGUAUGUGCAUGUGUGCGCAGGGAGAGAACACUUUGAAAGCUACCGUUAGUAGAAAUGAAUUUGUUAAAGUAGUUACAGAUGUUAAUUACAGCUAUACUAAUUAUGGAUAUGUCUAUCAGAGAGUUGCUAAAGUCUUAAACAAUGUUACAUGGCCUGGAGUGAAGAGGUUUUUCUCUCAUUUCAGAGUCAUUUACAUUCACACAUCUCAAGCACAUAUCUCCCUUUGACGACAAUUCGGCAACUCUUAUGGGUACUGGCAUAAUCAUAUGCUUUUGACAUUUACUCCACAAUUAGAUUCUUCAGAUUUCAGUCAUACUGAGUGACACCUUUGGCUAGUGUCAUCUGCACCAUCAUAUCAAAAUCUUGUACAAGUGCAAAGAUUUUGUACAUGGACUUCCUUUAAUUUCUCACUAAAUCACAACCAUCAUUAUUAUGAUGAGCAUCAUUAUAGUUCUGCUUUCUGUGCUACUAAGAGUUGGAUCAAAAUGUUGUUUCAAGUCGUUUCUUAUUUGGAGUUACUGAUCAUCUACAUCAUCUGGGAGACUCUGUCACACUCCUACAUUCUAUUUCUGACUUGCUUUCUAUAGUUAGGUGCCCUACCUAACAUCAACCAAUUUAUAGAGUGUACUAGGUGCACCAAUGCGAUCAUGGCAAUAUCAUUUUAUCAUGUGUAUCAUCAUAUCAAAAUAUUGUACACUGAAAUGGAUUGAGUUUAGUUUCUCACCAAAUCAUCAUCAAGAAACCCAUUCUUGUGGUUUUGCAGCCCAUGUCGGGGCAGGUCGGACAACGUUGGUCCAAGUCACUUCUCAUUCGAAGUGCUCUCCUACAUCACCUGGGAGACCCUAUCAUAUACCUAUAUACUGUUUUUGGCAUGGCUUUGACGGGGCUGGAUACCGUAUCCAUUAUCCAUCACUUUACAGAGUGUGCCACAUGUAAUUUAUCAUGGCACCAAUAUUAGAUAGGUCAUUAUGUGUUUCACAAAACAAAAGUGGUCUACUUAAAGUUGCUUCGUCUCCAUUUACCAACUACUUCACAGAGUGUAUUUGGUGCAUUUAAUCCUGACACCACAAUAUACUUGCUCUAUAUAUAUAUAUCAUAACAUUCAAUAUUAUGUCCAGUAGAAGCAAAUCCACUUUGCAAGAUGUAGCCUGGAUGAUGAAACUUUAUGUGGAGCUUCAAUUUCACCCAAGCAGUCAUACAUUUAACACUAUAUACCCAUGAAAUACUCUCUCUCUCUCUCUCUCUCCAUAACACACACAUUUGUUUAUUCAUUUGUAUAAUGUCUGCUUCGGCACACUAGCAGAUGCUGGGCAGGGAGUUAUUUUGAUGUAGCAUUUUACAGCAGGAUGCUCUUCCUGUGGCCAAGCCUUGUCUCUUUCUCAAAUAAAAAAUUUCCAGGCGCAGGAGUGGCUGUGUGGUAAGUAGCUUGUUUACCAACCACAUGGUUCCGGGUUCAGUCCCACUGCGUGGCACCUUGGGCAAGUGUCUUCUACUAUAGCCUUGGGCCGACCAAAGCCUUGUGAGUGGAUUUGGCAGAUGGAAACUGAAAGAAGCCCGACAUAUAUAUGUAUAUAUAUAUAUAUAUAUAUGCGUGUCUGUGUUUGUGCCCCACAACAUUGCUUGACAACCGAUGCUGGUGUGUUUAUGUCUCUGUUACUUAGCGGUUCGGCAAAAGAGACUGAUAGAAUAAGUACUGGGCUUACAAAACAAUAAGUCCCGGGGUCGAGUUGCUCGAUUAAAGGCGGUGCUCCAGCAUGGCCACAGUCAAAUGACUGAAACAAGUAAAAGAGUAAAGAGUAUUCUAGAAGUCCUAAAAAGUACAGAGCAACCAGUCAUAAUGUCAAGAAGGAAUAUCAACAGCAUUACUGUUUUGUUUGAAUGACAAGUGUGGAAUAUCAACAUCCACACACAUACACAAUACGGAUACACAUAGACACAUGAUAGGCUUCCUACAGUUUCCAUCUUCAAAAUUCACUUACAAGAUUAUUGGUCAGCCCAGGGUUAUGGUAAAAGACACAUACCCAAGGAGCGAAGAUGCUAUACAUUGAAACAAAAUACAAACUUCUUAACCACAAAGCCAUACCUGCACACUACAUGUGUGUAUGUGUGUGUAUAUAUAUAUAUAUAUAUAUAUAUAUACACACACAUACAUUAUGUCAUUUGUUUGUUUAUUUACCAUACAUUUUUUUCAUUUUUCAUUUAUUAAUGGAACGCAACACACCCCUACUUAUGUGAGUGUGUACAUAUAUAUAUAUAUAUAUAUAAUAUUAAUUAGAGACAAAACCACUAUUAUGCAAAUCAAACAAAGAAAGACUUAAUCCAAUACAUAAAAAAUUUUAUAUAAAUUAAAUAUAAUUAAGAUAUCCACUACGAUCGUUUCUUGUCAAUUCAAUGGACAUUCAUCAGGUGGUUUCAAGACCUUCUAUGCAAUUUUGAACUAUCAAAAUUGCAUAGACGGUCUUGAAACCACCUGAUGAAUGUCCAUAGAAGUGACAAGAAACGAUCGUAGUGGAUAUCUUAAUUAUAGUUAAUUUAUAUAAAAUUUUUUAUGUAUUGGAUUAAGUCUUUCUUUGUUUGAUUUGCAUAAUAGUGGUUUUGUCUCUAAUUAAUAUUAUAUUAUAUUUUACUAUAAAAUUGGAUUCAAUCCUAAAUCUGAUUUUUCCCUGUAAAUUUGGAUUUAUUCCCUAAUAUUUAUUAUUAUUUAUAUAUAUAUAUAUAUAUAUAUAUACACACACACACACACACACGCAUGGAUACCUCAAAAGUAAAUAGACAGCCUGCAUUAUCUACAUAUUUCCAGCUCCAGUCAAGCCAUCCAACCCAUGUCAGCAUGGAAAACAGACGUUAAAUGAUGAUAUAUCUAUAUAUGAAUGUCUAUAUAAUGAGGCAUCUGUUUACUUUUAAGGUGUGUGUGUCUAUAUUCUUUUACUCUUCUAUUUGUUUCAGUCAUUUGACUGUGGCCAUGCUGGAGCACUGCAUUUAGUCAAGCAAAUUGACACUAGGACUUAUACUUCGUAAGCCUAGUACUUAUUCUAGCAUUCUCUUUUGCCAAACUGCUAAGUUACACGAACAUAAACACACUAACAUUGGUUGUCAAGCAAUGGUGGAGGAACAAACAUAUACAUAUGACAGGCUUCUUUCAGUUUCCGUCUAACAAAUCCACUUACAAGGCUUUGAUCGGCCCGAGGCUACAGUAGAAGACACUUGCCCAAGGUGCCAUGCAGUGGGACUGAACCCAGAACCGUGUGGUUGGUAAGCAAGCUACUUAUCACACAGCCACUCCUGUGCCUAUAAUAUAAAUUGGACAUGAGCGAUUGUUGUAUUCUUUCUUGUCUUGAGGUUCACAGCCAAACGGCUGGGUGGAUUCGCAUGGAAAAUGGCACCCGUGUGGAGACAGGUGAAUAGAUUGGAAUGCAGUUUGUAUUUUUUUCCUAACCCCCCAUACUUACUGAGAAAAUCGAUCAAAACUUAUUGUAAUGGAAUUUCCCUCUUUCAUCUAUCAUUAAAAUAACCAGUUGCUUAGAAGCUGUUUUCUGACAGGGUGGGGUCAGGAAUUUUUCAUAUAGCUGGAGGCUCCAAUUGAAACAGGGGAGUCGAAAUGAUAAGGUUGACAAAUGCUGUUAUAGAUUAUGCCUAACAUAAAACAAUCACAGCCACACCAUCCAAACUGACCGGGUGAAACCGGGCUUAGCUGCUAGUAUAUAUAUAUAUAUUAUAUAUAUAUAUACACAUAUAUAUAUAUAUAUAUAUAUAUAUAUAUAUAUAUAUAUAUAUAUAUACAUAUAUGUAUAUGUUUGUGUCUCUGUGUUUGAUAACCGAUGUUAGUGUGCUUAUGUUCCUGUAACUUAGUGGUUUGGCAAAAGAGACUGAUAGAAUAAGUACUGGGCUUACAAAGAAUAAGUCUUGGGGUGGAUAUAUUUGACUAAAAGUCGUGCUCCAGCAUGGCCACAGCCAAAUAACUGAAAACAAAUAAAAGAAUAAAAGAACAUAUAUAUAUAUAUAUAUAUAUAUAUACUUUAUUAUUAAAGCUCUGCGUGUUGUGUGUGUAUCGUCCUUAUUUUUACAAAAGAUUUACAAACAAUAUACUUAGUAGUAGGUGUGGCUGAGAGUUAAGAAGUUUGUGUCCCAAUCACAUGAUUCUGGGUUCAAUCUACCAAAUCCACUCACAAGGCCUUGGUCAGCUCAAAGCUAUAGUAAAAGACACUUGCUCAAGGUGCCAUGCAGUGGAACAGAGCCCAGAACCAUGUAGAUGGGAAGCAAGCUUCUUACCACACAAUCACCCUUGUGCCUCUUCUACUUUUGAAUGGAUGAACGAAGCUACAAUUAUAUGAAGAGGUUCUGUAUAUUUAACUCUGGGUGACAGAAUAAAAUAUUACCAGUUGAGCUUUGAGAAGACAGAAAGGUGGUGCGAGAAAGGGUUCCAAAUGGAUUAAAAGCAUACCAAAAACACUAACUUAAGGAGUAUAUGACAGAAUCACUAUGAGGGAAAAACCCCACUUGGACAAAGAAACAAGCAAUGCUUAUAUCAAUUUUUAUUCUAAUUAUUUGUAGUUUAUGAACACUUCUCUCAGAUGUAAAAUAUUACAUUAUUGGAGGCGCAAUGGCCCAGUGGUUAGGGCAGCGGACUCGCGGUCAUAGGAUCGCGGUUUUGAUUCCCAGACCUGGCGUUGUGAGUGUUUAUUGAGCGAAAACACCUAAAGCUCCAUGAAGCUCCGGCAGGGAUGGUGGUGAUCCCUGCUGUACUCUUUCACCACAACUUUCUCUCACUCUUACUUCCUGUUUCUGUUGUACCUGUAUUUCAAGGGGCCGGCCUUGUCACUCUCUGUGUCAUGCUGAAUAUCCUCGAGAACUACGUUAAGGGUGCACGUGUCUGUGGAGUGCUCAGCCACUUACACGUUAAUUUCACGAGCAGGCUGUUCCGUUGAUCGGAUCAACCGGAACCCUCGUCGUCGUAACCGAUGGAGUGCUUCCAUUACAUUAUUAUAUAAUAAGCCCAACCACAAAACUGAGCAUAAUAAAAAGAAACCAUGGGCACAGGUUGGCUGAAUGGUAAGAAGUUUGUUUCCCAACCACAUGGUUCUGGGUUCAGUCCCACUGCAUGGGAACUUGGGAAAGUGUCUUUUGCUAUAGCUUCAGGCUGACCAAAGCCUUGUGAGUGGAUUUGGUAGAAGGAAACUGAAAGAAGCCUGUCAUGUAUGUAUGUGUAUGUCAGUGUGUCUGCGUUUGUCACCCACCACCACUUAACAACUGGUGCUGGUGUGUUAAUUUCACCGUAACUUAGUAGUUCAGCAAAAAGAGACCAAUAGACUAAAUAUUGGAGUUAAAAAGUAAAGUACCGGGGUUGAUUCGUUCAACUAAAAAUUCUUCAAGGCAGUGCC
rnacentral:lncRNA from 1 species